CCUACGGGAGGCAGCAGUGAGGAAUAUUGGUCAAUGGGCUUACGCCUGAACCAGCCAAGUCGCGUGAGGGAAGACUGCCCUAUGGUUUGUAAACCUCUUUUGUCAGGGAGCCCUUUGCGCUACGUGUAUCGUUAUCGAGAGUACCUGAAGAAAAAGCAUCGGCUAACUCCGUGCCAGCAGCCGCGGUAAUUAGGAGGAUGCGAGCGUUAUCCGGAUUUAUUUGGUGUAAAGGGUGCGUAGGCGGUAUGCCAAGUCAGCGGUAAAAUCGCGGGGCUCAACCUCGCUCCGCCGGUGAAACUGGCGUACUUGAGGGGGCGAGAGGUAUGCUGAAGGCGGGGUGUAGCGGUGAAAUGCAUAGAUAUCACGCAGAACUCCGAGUGCGAAGGCAGCAUACCGGCGCCCAACUGACGCUGAAGCACGAAAGCGUGGGUAUCGAACAGGAUUAGAUACCCGAGUAGUC
rnacentral:rRNA from 1 species